rnacentral:rRNA from 1 species
CGGCUGCUCAGUAACACGUAGUCAACCUAACCUAUGGACGGGAAUAACCUCGGGAAACUGAGAAUAAUGCCCGAUAGAACACUAUACCUGGAAUGGUUUGUGUUCCAAAUGAUUUAUCGCCGUAGGAUGGGACUGCGGCCUAUCAGUUUGUUGGUGAGGUAAUGGCCCACCAAGACUAUUACAGGUACGGGCUCUGAGAGGAGUAGCCCGGAGAUGGGUACUGAGGCACGGACCCAGGCCCUAUGGGGCGCAGCAGGCGAGAAAACUUUGCAAUGUGCGAAAGCACGACAAGGUUAAUCCGAGUGGUUUCUGCUAAAGGAACCUUUUGUUAGUCCUAGAAACACUAACGAAUAAGGGGUGGGCAAGUUCUGGUGUCAGCCGCCGCGGUAAAACCAGCACCUCAAGUGGUCAGGAUGAUUAUUGGGCCUAAAGCAUCCGUAGCCGGCUCUGUAAGUUUUCGGUUAAAUCUGUACGCUCAACGUACAGGCUGCCGGGAAUACUGCAGAGCUAGGGAGUGGGAGAGGUAGACGGUACUCGGGAGGAAGUGGUAAAAUGCUUUGAUCUCUCGAUGACCACCUGUGGCGAAGGCGGUCCACCAGAACACGUCCGACGGUGAGGGAUGAAAGCUGGGGGAGCAAACCGGAUUAGAUACCCGGGUAGUCCCAGCUGUAAACUAUGCAAACUCAGUGAUGCAUUGGCUUGUGGCCAAUGCAGUAUUGCAGGGAAGCCGUUAAGUUUGCCGCCUGGGAGGUACGUACGCAAGUAUGAAACUUAAAGGAAUUGGCGGGGGAGCAG